UAGAAGCAAUGGACUCCUGGAGAAUUGAAUUCCAAAACAGUGGAGAAUCGAGCUCAAAUUUAAAUGAAUUUAUCAGGUUUAUCCUUUGAGAGUGAAGGGUUUUCAAUGGAGACUCAAAGCUGGCGCAAUGUGUGUCUUAUUUCUAAGCAAAUGCAAUUGUAUUUAUAGCCAAAUCCAUGUGAUAUUUGCACACUCUUUC
rnacentral:lncRNA from 1 species